GGGGCUAUAGCUCAGAUGGGAGAGCGCUUGCAUGGCAUGCAAGAGGUCGACGGUUCGAUCCCGUCUAGCUCCACCA
rnacentral:tRNA from 3 species